rnacentral:rRNA from 1 species
UUCUGUAGCGAGGUUAACCGUAUAGGGGAGCCGUAGGGAAACCGAGUCUUAACUGGGCGAAUGAGUUGCAGGGUAUAGACCCGAAACCCGGUGAUCUAUCCAUGGGCAGGUUGAAGGUUGGGUAACACUAACUGGAGGACCGAACCGACUAAUGUUGAAAAAUUAGCGGAUGACUUGUGGAUGGGGGUGAAAGGCCAAUCAAACCGGGAGAUAGCUGGUUCUCCCCGAAAGCUAUUUAGGUAGCGCCUCGUGAACUCAUCUUCGGGGGUAGAGCACUGUUUCGACUAGGGGGUCAUCCCGACUUACCAACUCGAUGCAAACUGCGAAUACCGAAGAAUGUUAUCACGGGAGACACACGGCGGGUGCUAACGUCCGUCGUGAAGAGGGAAACAACCCAGACCGCCAGCUAAGGUCCCAAAGUCAUGGUUAAGUGGGAAACGAAGUGGGAAGGCUCAGACAGCCAGGAUGUUGGCUUAGAAGCAGCCAUCAUUUAAAGAAAGCGUAAUAGCUCACUGGUCGAGUCGGCCCGCGCGGAAGAUGUAACGGGGCUAAACCAUGCAC